UACGUAGGGGGCAAGCGUUGUCCGGAAUCAUUGGGCGUAAAGAGCGUGUAGGCGGCCCGACAAGUCCGCUGUGAAAGUCCAGGGCUCAACCCUGGGAUGCCGGUGGAUACUGUCGGGCUCGAGUCCGGAAGAGGAGUGUGGAAUUCCUGGUGUAGCGGUGAAAUGCGCAGAUAUCAGGAGGAACACCAAUGGCGAAGGCAGCACUCUGGGACGUGACUGACGCUGAGACGCGAAAGCGUGGGGAGCAAACAGG
rnacentral:rRNA from 1 species